UAUAGGAUAGCCACUAGAAAUGGUGGGUAAUACUGUAUAAUCCCUGCGGGGGAAAGAUUUAUCGCUACCAGAUGAGCCUAUGUCAGAUUAGCUAGUUGGUGGGGUAAUGGCCCACCAAGGCUGUGAUCUGUAGCUGGUCUGAGAGGAUGAUCAGCCACACUGGAACUGAGACACGGUCCAGACUCCUACGGGAGGCAGCAGUGGGGAAUAUUGGACAAUGGGCGCAAGCCUGAUCAGCUAUGCCGCGUGAGUGAGGAAGGCCUUAGGGUUGUAAAACUCUUUCAGUAGGGAAGAUAAUGACGGUACCUACAGAAGAAGUCCCGGCAAACUCCGUGCCAGCAGCCGCGGUAAUACGGAGGGGGCAAGCGUUGUUCGGAAUUAUUGGGCGUAAAGGGCAUGUAGGCGGUUUGGUAAGUUAAAGGUGAAAUACCAGGGCUUAACCCUGGGGCUGCUUUAA
rnacentral:rRNA from 1 species